UACGUAGGUGGCAAGCGUUGUCCGGAUUUACUGGGCGUAAAGGGAGCGUAGGCGGAUACUUAAGUGGGAUGUGAAAUACCUGGGCUUAACUUGGGUGCUGCAUUCCAAACUGGGUGUCUAGAGUGUUGGAGAGGAAAGUGGAAUUCCUAGUGUAGCGGUGAAAUGCGUAGAGAUUAGGAAGAACACCAGUGGCGAAGGCGACUUUCUGGACAAUAACUGACGCUGAGGCUCGAAAGCGUGGGGAGCAAACAGGAUUAGAUACCCUGGUAGUCCACGCCGUAAACGAUGGGUACUAGGUGUAGGGGGUAUCGACUCCCCCUGUGCCGCCGUUAACACAAUAAGUACCCCGCCUGGGGAGUACGGUCGCAAGAUUAAA
rnacentral:rRNA from 1 species